rnacentral:rRNA from 1 species
UGCUAACGUCCGUCGUGGAGAGGGAAACAACCCAGACCGCCAGCUAAGGUCCCAAAUUACUACUAAGUGGGAAACGAUGUGGGAAGGCUCAGACAGCCAGGAUGUUGGCUUAGAAGCAGCCAUCAUUUAAAGAAAGCGUAAUAGCUCACUGGUCGAGUCGGCCUGCGCGGAAGAUGUAACGGGGCUAAGUAGUAAACCGAAGCUGCGGCAAUGUGCUUUUGCACAUUGGGUAGGGGAGCGUUCUGUAAGCGGUUGAAGGUGUGUGGUAACGCAUGCUGGACGUAUCAGAAGUGCGAAUGCUGACAUGAGUAACGAUAAAGGGGGUGAAAAACCUCCUCGCCGGAAGACCAAGGGUUCCUGUCCAACGUUAAUCGGGGCAGGGUAAGUCGACCCCUAAGGCGAGGCCGAAAGGCGUAGUCGAUGGGAAACGGGUUAAUAUUCCCGUACUUCUUACAAUUGCGAUGGGGGGACGGAGAAGGCUAGGUGGGCCUGGCGACGGUUGUCCAGGUUCAAGUGCGUAGGCUUAAGAGUUAGGUAAAUCCGGCUCUUUCUAAGGCUGAGACACGACGUCGAGCACCUACGGGUGUGAAGUCAUUGAUGCCAUGCUUCCAGGAAAAGCCUCUAAGCUUCAGAUUGUAAGGAAUCGUACCCCAAACCGACACAGGUGGUCGGGUAGAGAAUACCAAGGCGCUUGAGAGAACUCGGGUGAAGG